rnacentral:rRNA from 1 species
UACGUAGGGUGCAAGCGUUAAUCGGAUUUACUGGGUUUAAAGGGUGCGUAGGUGGGCAGGUAAGUCAGUGGUGAAAUCUCCGGGCUUAACCCGGAAACUGCCAUUGAUACUAUCUGUCUUGAAUACCGUGGAGGUGAGCGGAAUAUGUCAUGUAGCGGUGAAAUGCUUAGAUAUGACAUAGAACACCAAUUGCGAAGGCAGCUCACUACGCGAAUAUUGACACUGAGGCACGAAAGCGUGGGGAUCAAACAGG